rnacentral:rRNA from 1 species
GUAGCAAUGGCGAGAAAGUCACACCCGUUCCCAUACCGAACACGGAAGUUAAGCUUCUCAGCGCCGAUGGUAGUUGGGGCAUGCGCCCCUGUGAGAGUAGGACGUUGCCAG